rnacentral:rRNA from 1 species
GACGAACGCUGGCGGCGUGCUUAACACAUGCAAGUCGAACGGAAAGGCCCUUCGGGGUCCUCGAGUGGCGAACGGGUGAGUAACACGUGGGUGAUCUGCCCUGCACUUUGGGAUAAGCCUGGGAAACUGGGUCUAAUACCGAAUAGGACCACGCGCUUCAUGGUGUGUGGUGGAAAGCUUUUGCGGUGUGGGAUGGGCCCGCGGCCUAUCAGCUUGUUGGUGGGGUAAUGGCCUACCAAGGCGACGACGGGUAGCCGGCCUGAGAGGGUGACCGGCCACACUGGGACUGAGAUACGGCCCAGACUCCUACGGUAGGCAGCAGUGGGGAAUAUUGCACAAUGGGCGCAAGCCUGAUGCAGCGACGCCGCGUGAGGGAUGACGGCCUUCGGGUUGUAAACCUCUUUCAAUAGGGACGAAGCGCAAGUGACGGUACCUAUAGAAGAAGCACCGGCCAACUACGUG